CCUCCGCGAGGCCGCGGUCUUUAAAGUGCGCUUUGCGGGGCUGGGGAGGGGGCGCUGCGCUUCCAGCCUCCCAGUUCUCUUGCUCCUGUGCUUCUCUCCUCCCAAGCAAAGGCCUCCAAGGUGACAGGCCCCCCGGCACCAGGUCCACGUACCUCGCACCUCCGCCGUACACGCGGGUGCGAGGGACUGUCGAGGCGGACGAGGCCGUGCCCUUUUCCCGAGAGCGCGAUGAGAACACUGGGACAACAGGAAAAUCGUAUGCACUGUCCAGUAUCAUUCAGCUGGGUACCAGUUUCAGGAGAGCAAGAGCAAAGCACAUCACCUCUCCUGUUUGCUCCUGGAUCCUGAGCAUCUAAUACGGAGCCAGG